rnacentral:piRNA from 1 species
UGGCAGGAGCAUGCUUUUUUGUGUCUGUGC